AAAAGUGAGUGAAUAAAAUACCGAAGCUUCAACUUCAAAAUCAUCCCAACCACCGCCGAAGAAGAGACGGGGCCCGACACGAUGCAAGAAUGUCGUAACCGCGACAACCUUAUUACCAUUAAGGGUUAAUAAGUUUGGACAACCGAUCGACCCUGGAAGUGGUACAUAUACUAAUUAUUUGGGAACACUUGCCCGGAAUGCUAAUUUAGCUCCUUUGUGCUACAAAACUUGGUGGGAGAUGCCUAAACGGCUGAAGGAGGAUAUGUGGAACGUUGUAAAGGGAAAGUAUGAUGUGGGAAUCAUGUCAAAACAUUGGACAAUAUCUUCCAUCAGAAAAAAAUGGAGGGGGUACAAGUGUGAAUUAAAAAGUGAAUAUUACUCAGUUAGGGAUACAGAUGCAAAAAGAUUGGCAAACCCACCACCUGAUGUUGAAAAGGAGUAUUGGGAAUUUUUGGUUAGGCAUUGGGGUAUGCCUAUGGCGAAGGUAAUCCUCCAUCUACCAAUUUUGUUUAAAGUCAAUGAGUUAAAUUUAUAGUUUAUCUGCUUUCAGUCAUUAUUUUAGAUGGAAUGUUAGAACGUUUACUUUUUCUCACUUUUUAUAGGAGGUCAGUAAAAAAAACAAAGAAUGUCGUGGGAAGUAGACAAUGAUGCAUACUACAGGAACAAAAAGCUUUGCACGUGUUUUUGCCGAGAUUGAGGAAGACGAAGGUAUUCAGCUUUCUCGUGCAGAUUUAUUCAUUCGCACACAUAUAAAUAAGGAUGGCAAAGCUAUUGAUGCUGCUGCUUCGGAGAUGAUU